rnacentral:rRNA from 1 species
CGCGGUUACACCAAGAGAUUGAGUUAUAUUUUUAGGUAAAAAGAUAGUUAGGCUUAAAUAUUUAUAGUUCACAACUGACCAUUUAUAAGAAGGUAAAAUUUGUAUAUAAAUAGCUAAUCUUAUAUUGACUUUUAUGCUGAAGCUAUGAUAAUUCUGAGGGAAACUGGGAUUAGAUACCCCACUAUUCUUAAUUGUAAAUCUAAUUAAAUUUACCAGAGUACUAUGAAUUUAUUAUAAAAAUUUAAAACUCAAAGGGCUUGGCGGUGUUUUAGACCUAUCAGGGGAACCUGUCUCAUAAUCGACAAUCCACGUGAUACCUAACCUAAUUUAGUAAGCAGUUUGUAUACCGUCGUCGUCAGGUAACUUUUAAAAAAUUAUAAGUUAGCAAAAAACCUAUAAGGUAAAACGUCAGAUCAAGGUGCAGCUUAUAAUAAGGAGAGGAUGGGUUACAAUUAUUUAAUUUAUAAUUACGGAAAAUUAUUCGAAAAUAUAAUUUGAAGGAGGACUUGAAAGUAUAAAUACUUUAUAUAAAUAACUUGAAUAUGGCUCUG